rnacentral:rRNA from 1 species
GUGCCAGCCGCCGCGGUAAGACGUAGGGGGCGAGCGUUGUCCGGAAUUACUGGGCGUAAAGAGCACGUAGGCGGGAACUUAAGUCAGGUGUGAAAGACCGGGGCUCAACUCCGGGGUUGCACUUGAAACUGGGUUUCUUGAGGGCAGGAGAGGAAAGCAGAAUUCCUGGUGUAGCGGUGAAAUGCGUAGAAAUCAGGAGGAAACCCAGGGGCGCAGGCGGAUUUCUGGACUGACCCUGACGCUGAGGUGCGUAAGCGUGGU